rnacentral:rRNA from 1 species
AGUGGCGUACGGGAGAGUAACACGUAAGUAAUCUACCCUCGGGUGGGGGAAUAACUUAAGGAAACUUAAGCUAAUACCGCAUAAUGCAGCGGCUCCGAAUGGAGACAGUUGUUAAAGCAUUUAUGCGCCUGGGGAGGAGCUUGCGGCAGAUUAGCUAGUUGGUAAGGUAACGGCUUACCAAGGCAACGAUCUGUAGCCGGUCUAAGAGGACGGUCGGUCUCACUGACACUGAAUAACGGGUCAG